GCUCCAUCUAGAGGUGGCUUUAAUGCAAAUGCUGUCAAAGCCACCUCACUGCCAGUACGUUCUGCAGCUUGUGGACUCGUUUGAAAUGGACAACUGCCUCCUGUUAGUCCUGGAAAGACCAAUCCCCUGCAUGGACGUAUAUGAGCUACUGUUGAGUGAAGGAGGCACACUCAGUGAGGUGCUGGCCAAAAUGAUCAUGCUGCAGCCUACUGUCAUCUGAUCAACUGGUGCUUGGAGCAAGAUCCCACCAAAAGACCAAGCCUGAGGCAGAUCAGUAAACAUGGGUGGUUCACAGAAGACCUUUCAGGUUAGCCAGAUGAUGAAUAGGCCAUGUUGGAUCAGAACAUCAGCACCCAACAACUUACCCAACAAAUUGUAAUUACCAAUAUAUUAGAAUCACUGUAAAUAUAUUCCUGUAAAUAAAUUUUAAUUACUG